rnacentral:rRNA from 1 species
AGUGAACGCUGGCGGUAGGCCUAACACAUGCAAGUCGAACGGCAGCACAGUAAGAGCUUGCUCUUACGGGUGGCGAGUGGCGGACGGGUGAGGAAUACAUCGGAAUCUACUUUUUCGUGGGGGAUAACGUAGGGAAACUUACGCUAAUACCGCAUACGACCUACGGGUGAAAGCAGGGGAUCUUCGGACCUUGCGCGAUUGAAUGAGCCGAUGUCGGAUUAGCUAGUUGGCGGGGUAAGGGCCCACCAAGGCGACGAUCCGUAGCUGGUCCGAGAGGAUGAUCAGCCACACUGGAACUGAGACACGGUCCAGACUCCUACGGGAGGCAGCAGUGGGGAAUAUUGGACAAUGGGCGCAAGCCUGAUCCAGCCAUACCGCGUGGGUGAAGAAGGCCUUCGGGUUGUAAAGCCCUCUUGUUGGGAAAGAAAAGCAGCAGGUUAAUACCCCGCUGUUCUGACGGUACCCAAAGAAUAAGCACCGGCUAACUUCGUG